CUGGCUCAGGAUGAACGCUGGCGGCGUGCCUAACACAUGCAAGUCGAGCGAUUACUUCGGUAAAGAGCGGCGGACGGGUGAGUAACGCGUGGGUAACCUGCCUCAUACACAUGGAUAACAUACCGAAAGGUAUGCUAAUACAGGAUAAUAUAAGAGAUUCACAUGGAUUUCUUAUCAAAGCUCCGGCAGUAUGAGAUGGACCCGCGUCUGAUUAGCUAGUUGGUAAGGUAAUGGCUUACCAAGGCGACGAUCAGUAGCCGACCUGAGAGGGUGAUCGGCCACAUUGGAACUGAGACACGGUCCAAACUCCUACGGGAGGCAGCAGUGGGGAAUAUUGCACAAUGGGCGAAAGCCUGAUGCAAGCAACGCCGCGUGAGUGAUGAAGGCCUUCGGGUCGUAAAACUCUGUCCUCAAGGAAGAUAAUGACGGUACUUGAGGAGGAAGCCCCGGCUAACUACGUGCCAGCAGCAGC
rnacentral:rRNA from 1 species